UCGAACGGUGAAGCCAAGCUUGCUUGGUGGAUCAGUGGCGAACGGGUGAGUAACACGUGAGCAACCUGCCCUGGACUCUGGGAUAAGCGCUGGAAACGGCGUCUAAUACUGGAUAUGAGCUCCUUCCGCAUGGUGGGGGUUGGAAAGAUUUUUCGGUCUGGGAUGGGCUCGCGGCCUAUCAGCUUGUUGGUGAGGUAAUGGCUCACCAAGGCGUCGACGGGUAGCCGGCCUGAGAGGGUGACCGGCCACACUGGGACUGAGACACGGCCCAGACUCCUACGGGAGGCAGCAGUGGGGAAUAUUGCACAAUGGGCGGAAGCCUGAUGCAGCAACGCCGCGUGAGGGAUGACGGCCUUCGGGUUGUAAACCUCUUUUAGCAGGGAAGAAGCGAAAGUGACGGUACCUGCAGAAAAAGCGCCGGCUAACUACGUGCCAGCAGCCGCGGUAAUACGUAGGGCGCAAGCGUUAUCCGGAAUUAUUGGGCGUAAAGAGCUCGUAGGCGGUUUGUCGCGUCUGCUGUGAAAUCCCGAGGCUCAACCUCGGGCCUGCAGUGGGUACGGGCAGACUAGAGUGCGGUAGGGGAGAUU
rnacentral:rRNA from 1 species